CUCCUACCAGUACAUAUAAAGAUGAUUCACCACCUUCAUUAGAUGUUUAAAGUGUUCAAGUUUCUUAAUCAAUUCAGCACGAAAUUAGGCAUAAUGGCAGUGAGUUCAACUGGACACAAGAAGUCAUCACUCUUCUCAUUCUUAAAAGGUCACUAUUUUUAUGUGCCAAUCUAAUGUUUAUAUUAAAAGCCGAUGAUACCACCAAUUCACAUAGGAUAUGAUAAGAUGGGAUAAGAUAUGAUUGCUUCACUGAGUCACAAAGUAGUGAUACUUCUUUCAUGUUUCACACCCACACCUCUAGAUUUGAUAGUUGAAUGUUGCAAAUUAGAUCGAGAUAUUGACAAGUUAUGGAAGGCUCCCCAGCACAAGGAUGUUGUGGCCUGUGUUAACCCGUGCUCUCAAUAUUCACGUCAUACAAAGUUGCGUGGUUACUUGCUUGUACACACAAAUGGUGAGCUCAAUCAAAUGAGAGAUGGGAAUUAAAUGGAGAGCCUCUAUGCGAUAAUGGCCCCAAACUCGCAAACGAGUUUGUGGUAAUAGUAAGUCCUAUAGAAGCACUCAGGUACAAGUAUUGGAGUGAAACACAAGUCCUCGAUAUAGAUUCCUUGAUUGACAGGAAGGAGUUCAUCUAGACAGUACUCUACCAAUGUUAAAGAAGUUCUUGGAGGAAUUUAUAGGAUAAAAUCAAUGAGUUGUUGCAAAGGGAGCUACACCACCCACUAAGGCAGAAAUAUGUGCUGAAGUUUGAAGAGAAAGCGAAGAUGAUGACGUACUAUAGCCACUGUUAAUUAUGACGAUGAAGCACUUCAUGGUAUGAUACAAAAACAUGCUGACAGAAUUCAAGAUACACGCGCAGAAUGAGAUGAUCAAGAAAUUACAAGAAAAUGAAAGAUUCACUCUAAGCAUGAUCCGUGAACAAAAAAAUCUGAUGCGUAGAAGUGGUCCAAGCGACAUUAGCUCUGAUAGAACAACAGAAAACCUAAUGCAAGAGCAACAGUAAAAUUUUCACUUGUCAAAUGUUUUAGA